rnacentral:lncRNA from 1 species
GACCAUCAUUUUAUCCCUGUUUGGGAAUUUCCAUUACUGCUGGGGAAAGGGACUUCUCCUCCUGAGUGAAGAUUCUGGGACGUGACUUGAAGCAAGGCAAGAGAAGCAAAACCUUUGUGUGAACAUCACAGAACAGAAGAAAAAAGUGAUGUACAAAGCAAGAGAAAGAAAUCAGGCUGGUUUCAAACCCUUUGUAGUGCUGGGCUGAGGUGAGCUGGGGUCACAUCCCUGUGAGGGGAGCACAGUGGGGCAGGGAUGAGGCUGGAAAGGACUGGGAUGCACAUGGUGCCAAUUUGGGGAGCUUUCAGACUUGUGUCUCUAAAUGGAAAUACUGAGAAGACAAAUUAAUUAUCUGAGAAAAGGAAGUGGUGUUGGUGGAGGGAGGGAAGGCUCAGCUCAGAGGAGCUGUGGAGUUUCCUUGGGGCUCCUUGAGCUGUGCAGGGGCAGCCUGUGGCUCCAGUUUGGGGCUCCCACGGUUAAACCAUCAGUUAACAAAUGCAUUUCCUCCAUAGGGGAGACUGCUUCUUCAUCCCACUGCUUUUCCAGACUGCACACUGUGUGUUCCUGCAGGAAUUCUCCUGCCCAGAUUUUUGUCACCUUGUGCAGAUUCUGCUGAGACUCUGGCAGCAGCAGGAUAUUGAAGGAUUUGAGCUGAGGUGUUUGAGCAGUCACAGCCCCCUGCUCUGACCCCUCAUUUCCAGCGCAGACACGGCUCCCUCAGCCCCACAUUUCCUCCAGGAAUCCCUGGCUGUGUGGCCCCUUUUCAGCAGAGAUUCCUGCAGCCCCAGCGUUUGAAGUGGCCGAAUCCCUGCAGGCCGGGGCCAGCAGCUCCGUCUGGCCAGGGCCCAUCGUCCCCUCGGCGCUGAUGUGGUGAG